rnacentral:tRNA from 1 species
GGCCUCAUAGCUCAGUUGGCUAGAGCGUUGGCUGUACUAAAGCCUUCCCCUUGCUGGCGUGGGUUCGCAUCCAACCGAGGCCA